rnacentral:rRNA from 1 species
UACGUAGGGCGCAAGCGUUGUCCGGAAUUAUUGGGCGUAAAGAGCUCGUAGGCGGCUUGUCACGUCGAUUGUGAAAGCCCGAGGCUUAACCUCGGGUCUGCAGUCGAUACGGGCUAGCUAGAGUGUGGUAGGGGAGAUCGGAAUUCCUGGUGUAGCGGUGAAAUGCGCAGAUAUCAGGAGGAACACCGGUGGCGAAGGCGGAUCUCUGGGCCAUUACUGACGCUGAGGAGCGAAAGCGUGGGGAGCGAUCCGG